GACGAACGCUGGCGGCGUGCCUAACACAUGCAAGUCGAAAGACGUGGCGAACGGGUGCGUAUUACGUGGGUAACCCGCCCUCCUUUUUGGGAUAAGCCUUGGAAACGGGUUCGAAUACCCAAUUAAGGGGGAUGGGCUCGCGGCCUAUCAGCUUGUUGGUGGGGUGAUGGCCUACCAAGGCGGUGACGGUUAGCCGGCCUGAUAGGUUGAACGGCUCCAUUGGGACUGUGAUACGGCCCAGCCUCCUACGGGAGGCAGCAGUGGGGGAUAUUGCACAAUGGGCGAAAGCCUGAUGCAGCGACGCCGCGUGGGGGAUGAAGGCUUUCGGGUUGUAAACCUCUUACGCUAUCGACCGGGUAGGUGGAGAAGAAGCGCCGGCUAACUACGUGCCAGCAGCCGCGGUAAUAC
rnacentral:rRNA from 1 species